CUCAACUUUCAAGAGCUUGUAUGAACUGCUGUGGUGGGGGCAGGGUGUUCUGCAAAGGCACUGGCCAUGCAGAAAGCCUUGACUGAUGGGAAGGAUGUAGAAGUGACUACGUACUGGCUUAGAAAUCUAUGAACAUCAAAAAGCUAAUGCUUAAAACAGAAAUUCUGUUCUGCGUAAACAUCCGUCAGCCUGUUCCGGACUUCAGGGCAUUCAGAGAACUGGCUUCUGACUCCUGAACCAUCUAUACGAUGAAAUAUUUGGGGGUACAUCUGAAGCUUCAAAUAAAGGAUAAUAAUGUCUA